UAUUUGAAUGGCUUUUGUUAUUUAUAGGCGGACUUUGACAUUGUUGGAGGUGCGAUAGCAUUGACGGAGGCAGAGAUCAUUAAGGCCUCGAUGGACAUUAUUGGUCAGUUUUUUCAUUCAGAAUUAUGUGAUAUUCAUUUGAACCAUGGAGAUCUAUUAGAAGCAAUUUGGUCUUGGGCCGGAAUCGAGCCGGAGCAUAGACAGAAAGUGGCUGAGCUUCUCUCUCUAUUAGGAUCUUUGCGCCCUCAAUCUUCUGAAAGAAAAUCUAAAUGGGUGGUGAUAAGACGACAGCUUCAACAGGAACUUAAUCUUGCUGAAGCUGUUGUAAAUAGAUUGCAGACUGUUGGACUUAGAUUCUGCGGACUUGUAGAUCAGGCUCUUCCCAGGUUAAGAGGCGCCCUUCCUGCUGGUAAGUCCACAAGGAAGGCCCUCGAUGAGUUGUCAGAGCUUUAUAACUAUUUAAGGGUUUGGAGGCUUGAUAGACAUAUCUUUGUGGAUGCACUUAUGCCUCCAACUGAGAAUUAUCACAGAAAUAUUUUUUUUCAGAUAUAUAUGAGGAAGAGUCUUGGAUCUUUAGUGGAAGGAACCUUGCUUGCUGUCGGUGGUCGUUAUGAUUACUUGCUUCAUCAUACAGGCGAUUUUGAAUAUAAAUCAAAUCCUCCAGGUGCAGUUGGGACUAGUCUUGCUUUGGAGACAAUUUUGUCGCAUAGUACUAUGAUGGAUACGAAAAUUUAUAGACAUGAUGUUGGUAUCGAGGUUCUUGUUUGCUCAAGAGGAGGAGGUGGUUUACUAGUAGAGCGCAUGGAACUAGUGGCUGAGCUAUGGCAGCAGAAUAUCAAGACUCAGUUCGUCCCCAUAUGUGAUCCAAGCCUCACAGAACAGUAUGAAUAUGCCAACGAGCAUGAUAUCAAAUGUCUUGUGAUCAUCACUGACAGUGGUGUAUCCCAAACAGAUUCAGUUAAGGUUCGGCAUCUUGAGCUGAAGAAGGAGAAGGAAGUUCCGAGAGAAGAACUUGUCAAGUUUCUCUCUGAGGCAAUGGCAACUCAAUUUAAAAACCCAUCCAUCUGGAACUAGAACAGAUUACUUGAACGCAUUGCUACCAGUCAAAAUGAACAAGGCGAUAGAACAUCUUCUAGCAGAUUGGGAAUCUAUCAUUGUACGUCAGGUUAACUGGGUAUGUUUAUUUCCACUAGGAUGAGGUGAAAGAUUCACACAUGUAGUAGAUGGAGUUCCUACAUCAUGCUGAGAGGGGGGACAAGUGAUAGUGGAGAAUUCCUUUGAAAAUUCACAUUUAGUUCCAUUUAUGAAUCAAAUCUCAUUUUUGGAAUUGAGCUCUGAACUUGUGCGAAUUUUUUUCCUUUCAGAAUUAAAAGAGUUUCAGAUGCCAAAUAUUUUUAUGUUGCACGUUCGAUGAUCACUUGAAUCAUACUUUGUCACGUCCCAUGACUUGUAUCUCUGUUUCUUCUCCAUGGAAACAUCAUUAUUGUUUGUUUGAGGAAAGAUAAACAGACAUCGCUAACAUUAUUAGCAAAAAAUUUUAAUUAAUGUACAAAAAGGUAGAUCUCCUUGAGUACGAAAUUCAUCUCUUUUUUUGUCUGUUUUGUUACAGAGUACUGUUUCAUAUACAGAACAGUAGAAAGUUAAAGUCAUCAGAGAAGGGAAAGAAAAUCAGAAAACAAUUUUCUGCCCUCAGUUUUGCUUAUAUAGAGAAUAUUUAGUUUCUUUAGCUGUACAGUAUUGUUCAAGGCGUUUAGACGAUAGUUUCGCCCAAUGAAAAUGAAGAGACCGGCAAAGUUUUUGUUCGCAAGACAGAGAGGCAUGUUUCCUUGUAUAUCAAAUUUUGUUUCUAAUCUUCUUGAAGUCCAAACUGCUUAAGCCAUUUGGAUUGUAAUUCUAAAACAUACUGUCAUUUUGCUGUUUCCUAAUGUGUGUGUCUAAUCAGUCAUCGACUACAAGGUUCACAUCUUCA